UGUAAUGUCAAUAAUUUUAUAAAAAUUAAAAAGUAUAAUUUGCGUACAAAUAGUAUCAAUAAUAAUAUUAUUAAUGGAUAAAUUUUUAUUUAUUGACAUAAAUACUAACAUGUCAAAUGUUGACGGAGACAUAAAAAUUGAAAAAUAUCAAAACCGAGGAUAACGCUGUCCAGGGCCUAACAAUAUAAUUAAAGAUGAAAUAUUUGAAGAAUCUUACUCAUGUGAACAAGAUACCAAUAUAAAUUUACAUCUAAUCGACGCCGAAAAUAUUCAAUGUGAAUCAUUUCACUCAGCAACAUUCGAAGAAGAACAAAUUCAUUCAUAUUCGUGUAAUUUAUGUGCGAAAACAUUCACAAACAAAGAUAUUGUAAUAGUAUAGAUGGAACCAAACAUAUUGUAAUAGUAUAGAUGGAACCAAAGAUAUUGUAAUAGUAUAGAUGGCACAUAGGCAACGAGUAUACGUUUCCGUGUAGCCGACCAAAGACGAUGAAUAUUGCCACUGUAUUCAAUUUCAAUCGACCACUGACCAGUGAACAUCUCAAGUAAAUUUACAUAUUUCGUGUUUAAAAUUGUAAUUUUUUGUUAUAAAAUGGUUUCGUGCAGUGUGAAAUCUUGUAAUAUUUAGGGUGUAAACUCGAAAAAUAAGUAAUUUACAAAAAAUUUCCACGUGAUCUUCGGAAAAAAAGGGUGUGGGUUGCAAAAACUAUGAACGCCGAUAGUUGGAUACCAACAAAAAGUAGUGUGAUUUGUUCACUACACUUUGAAGAAAAAUAUUUUUACUUAUCUACAAAAUGUUGCCGUUUGCUCA